rnacentral:rRNA from 1 species
UACGGAAGGCAGCAGUGGGGAAUAUUGCACAAUGGGCGCAAGCCUGAUGCAGCCAUGCCGCGUGUAUGAAGAAGGCCUUCGGGUUGUAAAGUACUUUCAGUCGUGAGGAAGGUGUUAAGGUUAAUAACCUUAGCAAUUGACGUUAGCGACAGAAGAAGCACCGGCUAACUCCGUGCCAGCAGCCGCGGUAAUACGGAGGGUGCGAGCGUUAAUCGGAAUUACUGGGCGUAAAGGGCACGCAGGCGGUUAAUUAAGUUGGAUGUGAAAUCCCCGGGCUUAACCUGGGAAUGGCAUUCAAGACUGGUUAGCUAGAGUCUUGUAGAGGGGGUUAGAAUUCCAUGUGUAGCGGUGAAACUGCGUAGAGAUGUGGAGGAAUACCGGUGGCGAAGGCGGCCCCUGGACAAAGACUGACGCUCAUGUGCGAAAGCGUGGGGAGCAAACAGGGAUUAGAUAC